GCGCCAAUAGCUCAGCUGGAUAGAGCAUCUGCCUUCUAAGCAGAGGGUCUCAGGUUCGAAUCCUGAUUGGCGUA
rnacentral:tRNA from 1 species